rnacentral:rRNA from 1 species
ACUCAAUAGAUACCCUGGUAGUCCUGGCAGUAAACGGUGCACGUUUGGUGUAGGAGGAAUCGACCCCUUCUGUGCCGGAGCUAAACGCGUUAAACGUGCCGCCUGGGGAGUACGGUCGCAAGAUUAAAACUCAAAGAAAUUGACGGGGGCCCGCACAAGCGGUGGAGUAUGUGGCUUAAUUCGAUGCAACGCGAAGAACCUUACCUGGGCUUGACAUGCAUCUCUAAGUCGGUGAAAGCCGGCGAGUGGAGCAAUCCACAAUUUGCACAGGUGCUGCAUGGCUGUCGUCAGCUCGUGUCGUGAGAUGUUGGGUUUAAGUCCCGCAACGAGCGCAACCCCUCGUGGCCUGUUGCCACCCGGCUGUCCGGA